rnacentral:lncRNA from 1 species
ACCACACCCAGCCACCUUUUGCUUUAAACAGUUCAGCUUUCUCAUUUCAAGGUACUCUGCGUUGUUCCUCAAAGCCUUUCACAUCUGAAAUGCCCACAUUACUUGAAUCAAACCACAAAGGUGAACCACACAUGGUCCUUAUUAUCUAGGAUAUGAAACAUUGUCCCAUGGAGAAAAUAAUGUCCCAUGGAGAAAAUAUUGUCCCAUGGAGAAAACAACUUAUCAAACAAAAAUAACCAAAAAGGUCAGAAUAUAUUUUUCUUGUUUUUGUUUAAGCCCUUCUUCUUGCACACUGAAGAAUAUAAAGAAUUUAUUCAAGCACAAAGCAUAAGGAUUGAACACCUGGAAAUACCAAUUCCAAAGUGAUAGAGAUAGCAUUCUGAAAUAGGGAAGUUCAGAUUUCGUUUAUAAAGUUAGAGGAGCUUUUAGCAAGGCUCUGCACAACUUCAGGGGAGAAUAGCUGAAGGCAACUGUUCUCUAACCUUGAGGCAGAGGGUAAGGAGCAAGUGCAAGGGAGCAAGGGGAAAUUAUCUUGAUCAGGCUUGUUUGAAGUUAUCCUGGAAUUGACCUUUGAACAUCCGUGUGUGCGUGUGUGCGUGACAUUCCCUGAAAGGGGAACAAUAAAUAUUAAUUACCCACAGAUUGUGUUUGCCCCAGGCUUUCGGCAUUCUGCCUGCACUGAAUAAAAGCAAGCAGCUCCAGCUUCUCGGGGCUGCACUUUGGCCACUUGAGCCAGGCAGUCUCCUAGCUGCUCUUACACACUGCAUAGCUGUGUGUGAGUACUCUUUUCAUCCAUCAGUCAGCCAGGGUCUGCAGGACAGAUCCGGCAAGUGGUGCCCUGUAUGAGGAAUGCUGCAACGGAUCUGGACUGAACCCUCAAAAAUAAAGUGACUGCUCAGUCCUCUUUGGAUUUCUGCGCGACAUAUGAAACCAUACCAUGGCAUGGCUGGAACCCAACCCGGUACCAAAAAUAAAGGAAAUGACCCUGCAGGACCUGCAGCCCCAAAACGAUGCGGCUUCCUCGGACGACACAGGCCCCGGACAUUAUGCUGAAGAAGACAACUCAGGAAGCUGAGCAAAUCCUGCUCCAGACACAAACACCAUUCACUCCAGAUAAUCUGUUCCUUGCUAUGCCCUCCGUUGUACAUUGCAACACUCGCAGGGUAUUGGUUUUUCUUAUUCUCUCACUCUGCCUGCAACUCGUACCUGCUACACUCUAUUAGGCCCAUCUUCUAGAUCCACCUUUCUUCCGCCCUGUUACUUGGGCAGACACCCCCUUCCCAGCUUCUACCAAUGUGACUGCUUGGGUAGGAGGGAUAAACAUACCCCUGGUGGGGUUCCUCAGUAACAGCCCUAUAGAACAAUGUGCAAAAUCACCUCUCCUGGAUAGACCCCCACUCCUGUGGGUCACUCUUUGAUUGGAAAUGAAUAUUACUGAUUAUACUCACGCUUGUCUUAUGUUACCUACUGCUUCUGGGAUGCAAAGCUGGAACACAAGCUGUAACCGCUGCACCUGUCAAGCUUGUCACUGCACACAUCUGUAUUCUUCAAUCAACAAAACCUGAUGCAAAAACAGAAAAGGGGGAGAUGUAGGAGAUCAGUCAGAGUGGUGAGAGAAACUGUAAGGAAAGGAGCAGGCCUUCUGAAGGGUCAGAAGGCUCUGCAUAGCUUCGGGGAAGAAUAGCUAAAGGCAGCUGUUCUCUAACCCUGAAGCAGAGGGUGAGGAGUAUGUGCAAGGGGGUGAAGGUGAAAUUAUCUUGAUCAGGUUUGUUCGUUUGAAGUUGUCCAGGAAUUGAACUUUGAACAUCCGUGUGACUGACGUCCCCUGAAAGGGGAACAAUAUGUUAAUUACCCACAGAUUGUGUUUGCUCCAGGCUUUCGGCAUUCUGCCUGCACUGAAUAAAAGCAAGCAGCUCCAGCUUCUGGGGGCUGCACUUUGGCCACUUGAUCCAGGCAGUCCCCUAGCUGCUACACUGCAUACCUGUGUUAUCAAGAACAAAAUGGGGGCUUCUGCACAGCAACUUCAGAAGAUAAGCAGAUUUUCUGGAAAUGGAUUUAGAGCAAGAGAGGAUAUCUAAAAUCAAAGAUAUAUGACACUGCUGGGGCUCAGAAACUGAUAUCCCAAAAUAUUGCACUUUGACAUGCUGAACUGAAGAAGCUACAAGGUCUCUCUGACCUUCUCCCCACCCCUCCUGUCUCUCAAUCCUUUCCGUCUCCCAAAGCACAGGAUGAAGUUGUUUUCAGAAGUUCCUUAUCUGCCUAAAGUCCAAACCUGCCAAAGAAUACAAUUAUCUUUAGUCUCUACUCUGAGUUUUCAUUAAAUGAACUAAUAUCACAGGGAGAAACACAAGCCUGUCAACAAACCUAGAUAGAUUUUGUCACAAACCACUGUCUACUCUGCAGCCCUAACAGACAUUGUCCCAGGCCCUUGCAUGUUCUUCAAGCCCAUUGAAUUCCCCUACAAAUCAUUUAUUAUAUCCCUAAAAACACUUCUCAAGCUCCCAUUUCCCUAGGAAGUAGAAUAAACAUCUAUGUCCAAUUGCAGUAUUGGGUGAUCACUCUAUCCACCCCCCUCUGCAGUGUACACGUUAAUAAUUUCAUAUGCCUUUUAUUAAUUCUGGUCAUUAAUUUAACCUUUUUCUUCUUUGGGGCCCACGUUGAAACCUCUAUUUUCAACUUCUCUUCCAGUUAGGUGUGGCCUUUUAGCUAAGUUCCUGCCAAUGGAACAUAAACACAAGUAAAGAUUGACAUUUCCAGGCCUGGGACAUAAUAACUUUCCACGAAGGAUUUUUCCAUGUUCUUUCCCCUUGCAGGGCAAAUGUAGAAGCCACAUUUAGGAUGGCUAAGCCACAAAGACAGAGGGCAUCUAGGUUCCAGAACCACUGCUAGAAGAAAGAGGGACCUGCUGAUCUAGAAUACCCUUUUUGAACCUCAUAUCCGCAGAAAAUAAACUUGUAUUUAUCUUAACUAGUAUGCUCUGCACCAAAGAAGGGUCUAGAUUCUUAAUUUCUAAAAGGAAAUGCAUUCACUUGUUGCUGGAUGAAUCUUCAGGUCAAAACACUUCAUCUGUAAAAGAAACAUAAGAUUUCAUGGAGAGAAACAAAGCAAAAUGUGGACUUCUUAAGAGUUAACCAGAGGAGAGGAAGCUAUAUUCACAUCUAUCAGCAGUAGAACUUCUGUCCACAGCCUAGUGAUCUUUCAAAUGUGGAUGUGACCAUAAGGAUGAGGUAGUUUCAUUGGAUAUGUUGCCUCUUGGGUCCUCCAUUAGAAAAGCAUAAGGAGGGUUGGAUGCGGUGACUCACAUCUAUAAUUGCAGCACUUUGGGAUGCUGAGGCAGGAGGAUCACUUGAGCCCAGGAGUUCAAGACCAGCCUGGGUAA